GGGAGUGAAGGGUGAGGCCAGACUGAGUACAGAAAACUGAGACACAUACGCUUUUAUAAAUAGAUAUGAUUUUUUUUUAUGUUGGCGUGAGCGAUGUUUUGACUCCAUCCUUGUCCAUGUCUCUGGGAUUUAACUUCUGUUGGAGUGAGUUUUGAUCUUCAGUUUUUUUUUUCUCUCCUUUUUUCCCCCUAAAAGUCAUCAGCUGACGUACCAGCUGCUCAUCCUGACACCGCCUCCAGUGAUCUCCUGACCUUUCAACUUUGACCCUUGUAAGAAACAUCCCAUCACCCUCCACUUUACAUUUAAUGACCAGUAAGACUCGUUCAGACCACCUGACACACUUUUACGAGGACGUUCGGACACGUGUGCCUGAAAGAGAUGUCUAAUAAGAUUUUGGUUCUGUUGUCGUAAAACAAGCUUGUGGCUAACAAAACUGCAAAUAAAGAGAAAGGUAUGGUAGCGAACAAAGAGAAAAUUUGAGGGGAGAAAUAUUUUUCAGUAUUUUGUAAGGAGAGAAGUAUAGAGGCCCAAGAAUGGAUCCCUGAGGGACACCUUUUUCUGCUAAAUUAACACUGGUUUCAAGCUUAUUUGUCUCAAGUGAGUCUCAGUUUCACUGUAGGUUACACAGAGGCUUUAAGAGUAACCUUUUUGUGUAAGAUUAAACCAUAAUUACCAGUUUUACGCAAGCCGAAGUAUAAUGAUAAUAAUGAUAAUAAUAAUAAUAAUAAUAAUAAGUGCUUUGACAAACAGUCGUAAAGCACAGAACAUCAACUCUUGUGUAAAUAGAAGAUAACUUUUAGAGACAUAUUAUGUGAGACAACAGACAAUUGAAUUUUCCCUCUGGGAUUAAUAAAGUUCUUCUUAUCAGCACAUGGAAAUAAGAACAAAUAAAAAACAAAAGCUCAGUUAAAAACAAGGCCUCCAUAUUACAGGCCGAUUUCAUUUAUCAUAAAGAACCCAGACAAUUCAAGAACCCUACAACAUAAAAUGAGACCAUGAGGACCAAAAUACAAACAUAGAAUAGGUAAGAAAAAGAAAUGUAAUAAAAAAGUGAGGUAGAAAUAAUAAAUAAAAUCAAUUAAAGGCCCAAAAGGUUAUAUAGGAAAAUAUUAUAAGUAAAACAAAGGCUAAAAGACAGUAAGUCAAAAUAAGAAAAAAGAGAUAAAAAGUAUAACGCCAUGAAGCAAGUUUGUAAAAGUUAAAGCUCCUGUGAGGAACUUGUAUUACAUCUGAUAAAACAGUCUUUGCUUUUCCCAUUUUCAACAUGCUUAAGUAGCUUCCUCUUCUGAUUUUUAUUUAUUGUGAAUAUUUCGCUGACACCUACCCCCUCGCAUCAGUUUCAGGCUUUGAGACUUACAACUUAAAAACUGUCAAUCUUCUUCCUGAUGGUCUUGUCUGCUUUCAUGCAUCAUAAUAAUUAAUCAGUACAAAUUUCAGUCUAUUUCUCACACGUCAAAAAACUCCCCACAGGAGCUUUAAAGUUGUCAAAUCUGUCCUCAACAAGUGAAGAAGAAAACAUCUUUAAAACUUUUGCUUCGGUUGAUCUUCUCUGAUGCGUUCAAGUACAUUAGGAAAUCUGACUGCUGCUGUGCUUUUGUCAACUGUUAGCAUAAAAAGUCUAUGUCAAAUUACUGCUGGUGAGAUCCAGAGUGUCAUCACGGCUUACUUUUAAAACACAUGUACACCGAACCACCUCCCAUACUACAACCCCUCCGAGUACAGAUUCUGUUCCUGGUUUAGCCGGUGAGGACUUUUCCAAGAUGUCCUCCAUCAUGAUUCGAAUCGCCAUCCCUGAGCUCACGACCUCCCUUUAUUAACCUUGAGAGGGUUAACGUCGACUUCUUCCCCCCAGUGAUGUCAUGUUCGGUUGAUGGGGCUGGGGUUGAGGGGGGUCUCGAGGGGGGGGUCUUAGUGUGUCUGUGCUCCAGUGUGUGUGUAUGUGUGUGUGGACUUGCUGGUAGUAGGGGGAGGAAGACAAGGGGGAUCCUAUUUGUUUGUUUUGCCCUCCAGACGUGUCCAAGAGCAGAUUAAGGGAUUUAGCUUUGGGGGGGCUGCACAGGAGGGACUUAAACUCCUCACCCAUUUACAUCCCUGGUUAGUGAACACACACACACACACACAUGCACACAUGCACAUGUUAAAAAGGGCAAAGAAAUCAAGAAGUUUCCUUUUGUCCACGAUAACACAAGCAGCAGCGAGGGGCGCAUGAAUGCAUGGUUUCAGACUGGAUGGACGGGUGAUGGUUGAGGGUGAAAGAGGAAAAGGAAGUGGUGUGUUGACACAGUGAUACCUCUUCCAGCCGUCUGAUCUUCCCUUGUUUUAGUGCUAAUCCCAACUUUAAGCACCAACAGAAUUUAAGACCCCCAGAGCUGGUGGCUUUGUCAGGUUUUGCACGCAACGGUCUGCUUAGAGAACAGGAGCUCCUCUGCAGAUUGUGCGGCGCUUACACAAGUUAAUGUGUGUAUUUUGGGAUUUAACUAAAGCAGACAUGUGGAGAGCAUCACUAAGUGCAUUUUCUCUGAGUGUUUUACUUAAACGUCCCGUGAAGAGCUCUUAUCUGGUUAUGAAACAUGCUGACUUCAGACUCUAUUUACAGAUCAGACAUCGAAAUGUAGAGUCUGGGUUUCAUUUCUGGUGCUGCUGAAUCUAAUCUGUGACUAUCGACACGAAUGUUUUGAUCUUUUAUCGAUUAAUGCUGCGUUCAAGUUACCUUGGAAGUCAGAUGUUACAGCCGAGUUGACAGUGUUCCAGUGAACAAAUCGGAAAACCAAGAUGGACGCCUGUUGUUUCUAGCAGAGGUAGCUGAUUUUCAGCUUCAGACUGGUUCAGUGGUGAGGGAAAAUUACUAAGCAGAUGAUUUUCAGCCAUGCCAGCUGGAUAUGUUGGUCACUGAGUUGGUAGUUGAAUCCCCUUUGGUACUGACUGACAUCUUAACUUCGCUAUGACAUUUAGGUUCUGGCUCGGCUUUCUUAUGGCGCUGAAAAUCGUUCUCUUAGUGGUCUAUGUAAAAGUAGUAAAAUUUGAAUUCUUGAAUUUUAACUUUCUGUGAAGGGAAAAAAGUGACAAAUUUGGGGAUCUAAUGCUGCGUUCAAGUUACCUCGGAAGUCGGAUGUCGGCGCUGGGAAUGGCGUUAGACCCGAGUUGAGGGCGUUCCGGUAAACAAGUCGGAAAACUAAGAUGAAUGCUUACAGUUAGCCGUUGUUAGCUGUUGUUCACAAAUGUUAGCUGUUGUUAGCCGUUGUCAGUUGCUGUUAACUGUUGUUAGCUGUUGUUAGCUAUACCAGUUGUAAACAACACAUAACACAGUAUUUAACUCUACAAACACCAUAGCUCCGUGUUCACAGUUAGACGUUGGGUAGUACAUGUACCACUUAUUUAGUUUCACAAAAGCAAAACAGAGGUGCUAAUAAAUAAAACAUUACGAGAGCUUUCACUGUUACUCUUUACUGUUGAUGCACUGCGCUGCCAUCUUGGAUUAUGACGUUGUCAUUUCGGAGUCAGUUAUCCGACUUCAGGGGGGCGUUCCAGAUGAAUUUCCGACUCUGAGCUCGGAAAUUCCGACUUCUAAGUACAACUGGAACACAUCAUUAAACUAUUUAGGGCAAAAAUACAAUAUUAGGUAGAUACAUUAGAGCUUCACUGGAUCUAACAGGAUGUUUGUGGAUCGAUUUUUCCGAGGGUUAGGGUUUGAUAAUAUGAAGUCAUUGAAAAAUAAAAAAAAGCAUGAAAACAAUUUUCUGUUUUUAUCAGCAAUUAAACGAAUUUGAUGCCAAUUAACUAACCAGACCUUCCAUAUUGUGGCCCCACCACCUCCUCCAUCUAACACCAGCCUGCCACGCGCUCAUUUAUGUGUGUGUGUGUGUGUGUGUGUGUGUGUGUGAGUUUGGAGGGGGUUAAGGGUAGAGAGGCAGAGUUUUUUUUCUUACGGGGUGGGGUGGUGGUGUGGGGGGGUAGUGCAAACAAAUGGACGCACGAACGCCAAGCUCAAAUUCAACCGCAGGUCGGCGGGGCUGGGCCCGGGGCCUGCCGUAGUGCACCUCUUUUGUAAUGUAUAUCAAGUUCACCGGGGGCCUUUUCAUGUGACAGGCCAUUGUUAAAGGGAGGCUAGCCAGCGUUACACUCCCCUCUUAACUCCGCCCACCCGACACGGGAGCAGGUUGGCCCGCAAUUGUUUUAUGGAAAUGCGCGCGGGCCGGGCCGGGUGUCUGCCAGGCGAGGACGAAGAGGAGGAAAGGGGGGGGGGGGGGGGGUCUGUGUCUUCUGUACGAGUGUGUGUGUGUGUGUGUGGGUGGGUGGGUUGGAGGGUGGGGGGCUGGACGUGACGCCGACCCCUUCGAACGCCCCUGACCCUGAGCAGAUGGCAAGGCAGGGUCUCUCCGCUGAGCCAGAAUUAAUAGCGUGUGCCAUGUCACAUUGUCUGAGACGGGCCUGCAAAAAACUCACCCCCCCCCCCUCCCCUCCACCCUCCCACUGCUAUCCUGAUUUUUGCUCCCUUCCUUCCUUCCUCCCUUCCCUAUCUCUCUCCCUCUCUCGCCCCUUUCUUUAAAUAUUCCUUCAAAAUAAAUCUUUAUUUGUUUUUCUCUCCUCAGACAAAAAUCCUCUUAUUUUCUUCUUUCUCUUCUUCUUUAAUUUCUGUCUUUUUACUCACCUUUCUUCCUCUUUCUUCUGAACCAUAAACCCCCCUUUCCUCCCCUCUCUCUCUCUUCUUCUCAACCUCACAUACAUCACAUCACUUUUCUUCCUCAACUCCCCCCCCUCCCACCGCAGCCACAAUC